rnacentral:rRNA from 1 species
GGAGCCUGAGAAACGGCUACCACAUCUAAGGAAGGCAGCAGGCGCGCAAAUUACCCAAUGAAAACAGUUUUGAGGUAGUGACGAGAAAUAACAAUACAGAGCAUUUAAAUGUUUUGUAAUUGGAAUGGUGGGAAUCUAAACCCCUUUCAGAGUAACAAUUGGAGGGAAAGUCUGGUGCCAGCAGCCGCGGUAAUUCCAGCUCCAAUAGCGUAUAUUUGAGUUGUUGCAGUUAAAAAGCUCGUAGUUGGAUUUCUGUCUUGGCUUUUACGUGUACUACAUGUAUAUUAAUUUAUAGAUGUUUUAUAACAGCGUUUAAACUUUGACAUAUUAUCCCAAUGUGUGUAUGUGUGUGUAUAUAUAGAGAAUUAGGUUUUAAAACCUUGAUUUAAUAUAUAUAUAUAUAUAUAAUCAUUGGGACUUUUACUUUGAGAAAAAUAGAGUGUUUCAAGCAGGUAUUUUUUUGCCUUGAAUACUGCAGCAUGGAAUAAUAAUAUAGGACUUUGGUUUUAUUUUGUUGGUUUCUAAGACUAGAGUAAUGAU